GACGAACACUGGCGGCGUGCUUAACACAUGCAAGUCGAACGGUGAAGCGCCUUCCUUUUUGGUGGGUGUGGAUGAGUGGCGAACGGGUGAGUAACACGUGAGUAACCUGCCCCCUUCUUCUGGAUAACCGCAUGAAAGUGUGGCUAAUACGGGAUAUUCUGGGUCUGUCGCAUGAUGGGUCUGGGAAAGAUAUUGUUUCGGUGGGGGAUGGGCUCGCGGCCUAUCAGCUUGUUGGUGGGGUGAUGGCCUACCAAGGCGGUGACGGGUAGCCGGCCUGAGAGGGUGGACGGUCACACUGGGACUGAGACACGGCCCAGACUCCUACGGGAGGCAGCAGUGGGGAAUACUGCACAAUGGGCGCAAGCCUGAUGCAGCGACGCCGCGUGAGGGAUGGAGGCCUUCGGGUUGUGAACCUCUUUCGCCAGUGAAGCAGGCCUGCCUCGUUUGUGGGUGGGUUGACGGUAGCUGGAUAAGAAGCGCCGGCUAACUACGUG
rnacentral:rRNA from 1 species